UAAUAUAUUUUAACGUAAUAUGUUUGCUGUUCUUCAUCUUUUUAAAUAUUUAGUCUAUCCAUGUUUGUGUUUACAGAGGUCAUGUACACUGUGGUCAACUUUGUGGACGCUGAAGAGGUUUCUGGGUAAAGAUUAUUGAAAUAAUGAAGGAACAGUGGAAGCUAAAACAUCAGACUGAUCCAGACACUGAAGAAAUUGAGGUCACUGCAAUCUGGCCAAAAUGAUACAACUAUAUUGAAGUAGCCUACUGUAAUGAAGCUGCAGAACAACACAGAGACUCUGAGGACAUCAACACAGAAAAUCAAGGCUCCAAAGAGAUGUCUGUCCAGAUGAGGGUGCAUCAGCGUUACCUUUGCUGACAAGUAUAUGCUUUUAGCAGUUAACUUAACUCAAACCAUUUAAGGAAAUCGGUUGCCUUAAACCAUUAAGUUUUAAAAAACAUACAUUUGAGUACUGUGAACUUAAGUCUUGUGCAAUUAUGCACUUAUAUUUAGGUAGUGUGAACUUAAACAAAUUGAGUCACAUGCAGUUAAGCACUUAUAUUUAAGUUCACAGUACUCAAAUCUAUGCGUUUUAAAACUUGAAUGGUUUAAUGCAACCUGUUUUCUUAAAUGU